rnacentral:lncRNA from 1 species
AAGUUCACAGCACUGUCUUUCUGUCACUGUCUCCUGCUAUUCUUCAGAAAUUUCCUGACUUCAAAGAGAGCAGAGCUACAGCAGCACAGUCUUCCUUUUACGGUGUCUGAAUUCGGACCCAGGAUUCUGUACGAUGCUCUGAGCCUCCCCAGUGCAUCCAGUGGCCACCAUAGACGCCCCAAACCAUCUUCCAGAGGCUGCAGCAACAACAUGAGACAUCUGCACACCCAACUCCAGGGCUGCAAGUCUGAACAUGACCUGCUGAUCAUCCCCAGUCCCUCAUCAUGCUGCUGGGGUGCUGGAUCUCAGGAUUCCUCCUGGACCCCAAAGCUGGGUGGGGACCCAAAAAUAUGUUUGGGAAGGCUGCUUUGAACAAUUUCAGGAAAUAUGAAGGACCAGCUGAAAUGGAUGCUAUAAACAUUCAGUGAAGAGUACUGAACCACAAAAAAGGAAAAGCUAAGGCAGAAAUAAAUGCUAACAAAAAAAAAAAAAAAGAUUCA